UGGGGAGUCAUCAUAACUCAGUGGUAGAGCAUCUGCUUUGCAUGCAGAAGGCCCCAGGUUCAGUCCUAGUCCUCUCCAA